rnacentral:rRNA from 1 species
CGAUGAAGCCCACUUGUGGGUGGAUUAGUGGCGAACGGGUGAGUAACACGUGAGUAACCUGCCCUUGACUCUGGGAUAAGCCUGGGAAACUGGGUCUAAUACCGGAUAUGACUGAUCAUCGCAUGGUGGUUGGUGGAAAGCUUUUUGUGGUUUUGGAUGGACUCGCGGCCUAUCAGCUUGUUGGUGAGGUAAUGGCUUACCAAGGCGACGACGGGUAGCCGGCCUGAGAGGGUGACCGGCCACACUGGGACUGAGACACGGCCCAGACUCCUACGGGAGGCAGCAGUGGGGAAUAUUGCACAAUGGGCGCAAGCCUGAUGCAGCGACGCCGCGUGAGGGAUGACGGCCUUCGGGUUGUAAACCUCUUUCAGUAGGGAAGAAGCCUUUCGGGGUGACGGUACCUGCAGAAGAAGCGCCGGCUAACUACGUGCCAGCAGCCGCGGUAAUACGUAGGGCGCAAGCGUUAUCCGGAAUUAUUGGGCGUAAAGAGCUCGUAGGCGGUUUGUCGCGUCUGCCGUGAAAGUCCGGGGCUCAACUCCGGAUCUGCGGUGGGUACGGGCAGACUAGAGUGAUGUAGGGGAGACUGGAAUUCCUGGUGUAGCGGUGAAAUGCGCAGAUAUCAGGAGGAACACCGAUGGCGAAGGCAGGUCUCUGGGCAUUAACUGACGCUGAGGAGCGAAAGCAUGGGGAGCGAACAGGAUUAGAUACCCUGGUAGUCCAUGCCGUAAACGUUGGGCACUAGGUGUGGGGGACAUUCCACGUUUUCCGCGCCGUAGCUAACGCAUUAAGUGCCCCGCCUGGGGAGUAC